rnacentral:misc_RNA from 1 species
AAGUCGUAACAAGGUUUCCGUAGGUGAACCUGCGGAAGGAUCAUUAACACGUAUCCAAACGUUCAAACCCCGCGUAGUUCGCAAAUCAUAGCCCGGAAAGUUGUAGUGAUUCAGAGACCUCUGGCUACGUGCGAACAUUGGAACAGUUACAAUCGAGCGGUAGUUCUAUAGGCAAUGUUUCUCCAAGCAGUCAGUGUCGGAAAGUGUCAUUGAUUGUGCAAGGAUAGCGCUUCUACGAUUCCUGUAGACCGUACACUCGGGCAGGAGCUUUGCCAAAGGGUCCCCAUGCCCCCUAAUAACCCCACAGUUUAAUGUGAAGCUCAAUGUAAUACAUUGGGUAAAAAAACCGAACAACUGUUAACAAUGGAUAUCUUGGUUCUC